UACGUAGGGCGCAAGCGUUAUCCGGAAUUAUUGGGCGUAAAGAGCUCGUAGGCGGUUUGUCGCGUCUGCCGUGAAAGUCCGGGGCUCAACUCCGGAUCUGCGGUGGGUACGGGCAGACUAGAGUGAUGUAGGAGAGACUGGAAUUCCUGGUGUAGCGGUGAAAUGCGCAGAUAUCAGGAGGAACACCGAUGGCGAAGGCAGGUCUCUGGGCAUUAACUGACGCUGAGGAGCGAAAGCAUGGGGAGCGAACAGG
rnacentral:rRNA from 1 species